rnacentral:rRNA from 1 species
UGGGGAAUCUUCCGCAAUGGACGAAAGUCUGACGGAGCAACGCCGCGUGUAUGAUGAAGGUCUUCGGAUUGUAAAGUACUGUCAUUGGGGAAGAACGGUUUUCUUGAAAAGAUUGAGAAGACAUGACGGUACCCAAGGAGGAAGCCCCGGCUAACUACGUGCCAGCAGCCGCGGUAAUACGUAGGGGCAAGCGUUGUCCGAAUUAUUGGGCGUAAGGGCGCGUAGGCGGGCCUUUAAGUCCGGUGUGAAAGAUCAGGGCUCAACCCUGAGAGUGCAUCGGAAACUGGAGGCCUUGAGGACAGGAGAGGAAAGUGGAAUUCCACGUGUAGCGGUGAAAUGCGUAGAUAUGUGGAGGAACACCAGUGGCGAAGGCGACUUUCUGGACUGUAACUGACGCUGAGGCGCGAAAGCGUGGGGAGCAAACAGGAUUAGGAUACCCUGGUAGUCCACGCCGUAAACGAUGAGUGCUAGGUGUAGAGGGUAUCGACCCCUUCUGUGCCGCAGUUAACACAAUAAGCACUCCGCCUGGGGAGUACGGCCGCAAGGUUGAAACUUAAAGGAAUUGACGGGGUCAUAGCUGUUUCC